rnacentral:ncRNA from 1 species
ACGGAGCAAGCCGAAAAUCCUGCAAAAGAGUAGGCG